UCGUGCAAACAUCCGGCCUGAAAACAGAAACUCUCUCCCUCUAACCCUAAUACGGCGUAGACUAACCCACAAAGAUCGUCUAUCAUCUUCAUGCGGCCGGAUGCGGUGACGUUUGCGCUUCUUCUCAUGACUGUUAAGCGAGGCGGCGAGGUUCGACGCGCUCCUCCUGUACGCCAAGGCGACUCUCACCCAAGCCACCGUGAACGUGUCCACCGCUGAACACAUUCAGGCAUCUUUUCAAUGUACUAUGGUAGCGACUUUGAGGUAACACAGAGCAAUUUGAACUUCAGGCUGUCCGACUCUCCUGUCUCGAUCCGGUUCAAUAGUGGUGUGUCUGUCACUAUGAUGAGUGUAUUCGACUCUCACGCUGUAUCGUUUCACAAACAACUUGAGGGGUACAAGGUUGAUCCACGUGUGGUUGUUCCAACAUGCAUUAAUCUGAAGCUUAUAGGAGGUCGUUUGUUCCUCAAUGCCACGCCUGGAACUCAUUUCUAUUUUGACAAGGAGUCUGAAUCUGGAGAGGGUUCAAUAUAAUGUCCAGAAGGCUUAAAAUAAAAGAGAAAGUGAUGCAUCUCAACGAAGCUGGCUCUGUUAUUUAUAGGUGUUGUUUAUUUCCGACCAAUCUUUGUUCGAAGCCAGUGCUUGUGUCUAUCACUUGAUGUUCUGCUUACAGACGUUGUGAUAAUUUAUCUUUUAGCCAUUGGGGGAGAGUGAUGAGCAGGCAGAGGGCGAGAUAUUCUUCUUCGGAAGAAGCGUCAGACUGAUCUAUGAUUCGGUGUCGUUUUGUACGUUUUGUUUUGGUCCACGAGUCAAGAUUCUCCGACUCGAUAAGGAAAGGAGGAGGAGCGGUGGUCGUUGUGGAGGUCGGAGAAUUGAAUGUGUCGAGAGCCAUCGUCUUUGAUUGGUUGAAUUGUAAGAGAAAAAAAGAAUAAGAAUAGAGAUAGUGAAGUGAGCUGGUGAGGGAGUGAGAGAUGAGAUGUGAACACGUCUUUGUUUUAAUUUUUAGGUGAUUAAGAGUGGGAACGUGGGCUAAGUGAUCAAGUGGUGUUUCUUCUCA